GGGGACGUACAGGUUUCGACGGAAAGUACAUUUAAAAGAUGCAAGUCGAGUUUGAUCACAACUCGUUAAUACAGGAUCAAAAAAUACAUGCUGACGACGAAAGUCCCAGUCUGGCAGAGCGCUUUAAUGCGCUUUUCGGCACCUUGGGGCAACCUAAUGCUGCCGCAAGUUACGCAUUAGCGUAACACCAGUGUCCGCAAGAAGCGCUUCUUAGCCGCAUCUUGACCGGGCAUAAUAAAGCUAAGAUAAGUAAUAAGCGUUGACUGGCGUUUGUUAUCUAAUAAAAUAUUAGUCUUACCCAAAUACAUCCUGCAAGCCGGUAAGUAAUUGGGAACAUAAAAAGGUUUGCUAAACUUGUAGAAAUUUCUUGAGUUGCUUUUACGGACGCGGGUUCAAAUCCCGCCGUCUCCACCA
rnacentral:tmRNA from 1 species